ACACCUCAACUCUCAUGGCUUGCCAUGAUGAGCUUGGACUUUGGGGGUCUUGCUGGCCUGUGGUUGGCUCCUCUCAAAUAGAUCAGCUUGCCAGUGUUUGGUGGCAUCACGAGUGUGAUAACUAUCUGCGCUUGUGGUUUUCCAUCAGGUAACCUUCAGUGAUGGAGGUUCGCUGGGGCUCAUAAAUGUCUCUCCUCAGUGGAGACAGCUCUUUGGAC
rnacentral:misc_RNA from 1 species